rnacentral:rRNA from 1 species
CUGCAGGGCUUGAGUACAGUUGAGGUAGGCGGAAUGUGUAGUGUAGCGGUGAAAUGCUUAGAUAUUACACAGAACCCCGAUUGCGAAGGCAGCUUACUAAACUGUAACUGACACUGAGGUACGAAAGCGUGGGGAGCAAACAGGAUUAGAUACCCUGGUAGUCCACGCCGUAAACGAUGCUCACUCGCUGUAUGCGAUACACAGUAUGCGGCCAAGCGAAAGUCUUAAGUGAGCCACCUAGGGAGUACGUUGGCAACAGUGAAACUCAAAGGAAUUGACGGGGGCCCGCACAAGCGGAGGAACAUGUGGUUUAAUUCGAUGAUACGCGAGGAACCUUACCUGGGCUUAAAUGCAGAGCGACAGACGUCGAAAGAUGUUUUUCUUCGGACGAUUUGCAAGGUGCUGCAUGGUUGUCGUCAGCUCGUGCCGUGAGGUGUCGGGUUAAGUCCCAUAACGAGCGCAACCCUUACCGUUAGUUACCAUCAGUUAGGCUGGGGACUCUAGCGGGACUGCCACCGUAAGGUGAGAGGAAGGUGGGGAUGACGUCAAAUCAGCACGGCCCUUAUGUCCAGGGCUACACACGUGUUACAAUGGCCAGUACAAAGGGCAGCUACCUGGUGACAGGAUGCUAAUCUCUAAAGCUGGUCUCAGUUCGGAUCGAAGUCUGCAACCCGACUUCGUGAAGCUGGAUUCGCUAGUAAUCGCGCAUCAGCCAUGGCGCGGUGAAUACGUUCCCGGGCCUUGUACACACCGCCCGUCAAACCAUGGAAGCUGGGGGUACCUGAAGUCUGUGACCGCAAGGAGCGGCCUAGGGUAAAACUAGUGACUGGGGUUAAGUCGUAACAAGGUACCA